GUCUAAUAACUCUGUGUGAUGCUGGUGUUGGAUGUUCAGUUUUGGAUCAUCGUAUUCCUGUGGGCUAGGCACAGGUCUUGGAAACCCCUCUGCAUCAUCAUGCUGCUCCACUCAAGGGAUUGGUAUCCUCCUUUGACAGGGAAGGGAGUUGCGCCCUAAGCAAAAUCUGACUGCUGAGGAAGCAGCGUUUCCAAAGGGACAAGACGGUGUGGUGAUCGUGGCAGGAAGGACACUUUGUUCCCAGCGGAGUGGGGACCCCGACGGCAGGCAUACCUGGACAGCCAGAGACACUCCCCAUUGCUUCAGCCAC